rfam:Trichobilharzia regenti genome assembly, scaffold: TRE_scaffold0012055
GUACUGCCGAAGAGUCCCAAACUAGGAUGAAACAGCUGUCCAGUAC